rnacentral:tmRNA from 1 species
GGGGCUGCAUUGGUUUCGACGCGGGUUGGAAUCGUCGCGGUGCAUGUCGAGCUCAGUUUGCUCGUAAAACCGACUGAAACAAAGUAACUGCAAACGACGAACGUUUCGCACUCGCCGCUUAAACACCGGUGAGCCUCGCAACAGUCUGCCGACGGGCUGGGCAAGGGCAGCGCAAGCUGUCCAGGCUGCGAGGGAAUGCACAUCGGCUGGCUUGACUCCGGGCACCUUGGAGGCAAGCGAGAUUCAAGGGUGCUGGCGGUUCCGGUAGCGUGCGCCUGCGCGACCGGAACAGCGAGAUCCAAAUCAGAGCGCUAAACAUGUAGAUCUGCACGAGGAAGGUUCGCGGACGCGGGUUCAAAUCCCGCCAGCUCCACCA